rnacentral:lncRNA from 1 species
AUGGUUUCAAUACCAAUUUUACAGUUGAAUAUACAUUCAACAUGACCAUUGCACAUAGUCUAAGUAUUAAUUAUUAAUCUAUCAUUUUUCAGAUACCAAUAAAACUAGUAGCUACUACUAAUGGUAUGUGACUGUGAGCUGUCAUCUACUAUUUCUUGACAAAAUGGUUUCAAGAUUGAAGAGUACCAAUAACUCCUCCUCCAACCCUUUUCUUUUGUCCAGAAAACAAAAUCUGAUUGUUCAAAUUACUCCAUUCUUUAUUGAGUAUUUAUAAUAACCCAUUUGUAAUUUUCUCCAUUCUUUAUUGCGUUUCUUGUUUGCAUGUUGAAUGUUUCUUUCUUCUCCAAAAUUCAACAAAACUACUAGCAGAUUUCAAGAUUAAAGAGACCUACCAUUGCUAUUUGUUUUAACAGUGAAAUCUCUUGCAAAAUGAAGCUGAGUUAGAAUCCUCUUUAGAUGUUUUCAUCUUUACAUCUCUAAACUCACUCUUCUUUUUAACCUUUUUCUUCUUCUUGUUUUGUCAUUCAUCUCUCUGAUGCUGAAGCUUAAAAUGGUCUUGUGUUACCCGAAUAGAUCCGUUCGAUUUAACCGACACCCGAUCUGUCCGCCACCCGACAAAACCGUGCUAGUAAUCGGUCGGUGAUGGGUGGGAUUUUUCCUUCAUUGGUUAUUGUCGGUUUUGAAGNNNNNNNNNNNNNNNNNNNNNNNNNNNNNNNNGGCCGUAACCGACCGAUGCACAGCCCUAGCUACAACACACUCUUCUCUUUGUUUCUUUUCUUUUUGUUGUAAAUCUGGAUCUGAUUCAAGUAAUAAUAGGGUACAACACAAUCUUACAUCUCGCACAAUCAAAUCAUUGAUUAAAAAAAAAGUCAAUGAUAUUCGAAACAAGUGAUCACGUUUGUAUGCAUUCACAU